rnacentral:rRNA from 1 species
AUUGAACGCUGGCGGCAGGCCUAACACAUGCAAGUCGAACGGUAACAGGAAGAAGCUUGCUUCUUUGCUGACGAGUGGCGGACGGGUGAGUAAUGUCUGGGAAACUGCCUGAUGGAGGGGGAUAACUACUGGAAACGGUAGCUAAUCCCGCAUAACGUCGCAAGACCAAAGAGGGGGACCUUCGGGCCUCUUGCCAUCGGAUGUGCCCAGAUGGGAUUAGCUAGUAGGUGGGGUAACGGCUCACCUAGGCGACGAUCCCUAGCUGGUCUGAGAGGAUGACCAGCUACACUGGAACUGAGACACGGUCCAGACUCCUACGGGAGGCAGCAGUGGGGAAUAUUGCACAAUGGGCGCAAGCCUGAUGCAGCCAUGCCGCGUGUAUGAAGAAGGCCUUCGGGUUGUAAAGUACUUUCAGCGGGGAGGAAGGGAGUAAAGUUAAUACCUUUGCUCAUUGACGUUACCCGCAGAAGAAGCACCGGCUAACUCCGUG